UGGGGAAUAUUGCACAAUGGGCGCAAGCCUGAUGCAGCAACGCCGCGUGAGGGACGACGGCCUUCGGGUUGUAAACCUCUUUUGGCAGGGAAGAAGCGAAAGUGACGGUACCUGCAGAAAAAGCACCGGCUAACUACGUGCCAGCAGCCGCGGUGAUACGUAGGGUGCAAGCGUUGUCCGGAAUUAUUGGGCGUAAAGAGCUCGUAGGCGGUUUGUCGCGUCUGCUGUGAAAACCCGAGGCUCAACCUCGGGCCUGCAGUGGGCACGGGCAAACUAGAGUGCGGUAGGGGAGAUUGGAAUUCCUGGUGUAGCGGUGGAAUGCGCAGAUAUCAGGAGGAACACCGAUGGCGAAGGCAGAUCUCUAGGCCGUAACUGACGCUGAGGAGCGAAAGCAUGG
rnacentral:rRNA from 1 species